rnacentral:lncRNA from 1 species
CAGNGUGGGCACGGCCCCGAGUGCCGGAGUUCAGGGUGCGUUUGGACAGUGCUCUCAAACACUGGGUUUGAAUUUGGAGUGGCACAUAUUGCCAUCUCUUAGGUUAUCUCUGGGAAGAUCUACCUGGAGAAUGAAAAAAAGGUAACAUCAGGAUUCUGGAAAAUGCAGUAGAGCUGGUGUUAUGAUAGAACAAUGAAUGACAUGAAACGGAGAAUCAGUUGUCCCUACACAAUAGAACAGGUCACUUCUCAGAGACACCAAUAAGCCAUGUCUUCUGCAUCUCCAAGAAGUCCAUCUCUACUUGGACUUUAGGUCCUAUGUCUUCCUAUCACUCCACAGUGCACAAUGAGAGAGAAGAGUGUCAUGAAGCAGUAGAGACUGAUACAACACAGAAAAUCAGUUUUCAGGAAGAGAGAUGGAGAGGCCAGUAACUAAGCCUGAGUACGAGCUCUAAGCCAGCGGUCAUGGCAUAGUUUGUUUACUCACCUUGCAGUGGAGCUCUGUGAACAAACUCAAGCACAGCUAUGAACAGGCAAAAUGCUCUGGGCAUCCCCUACUAAUUCCAUUAAUUGAAUCUUGGACAUUUCAAGCAUAUAUGAGUUUUGAGAUUUUCAUUCUAUGGAGUUACCUUACUAAAUU